rnacentral:misc_RNA from 1 species
AAAAAAUGUUGUGCUCAUUUUAGGUUAAGUUUGAGAUGACAGGAAUGAAGAAGCAUAAAAUCACUUCACAAGGUUCAAAUGUUGACCUUGGACUGAAUGUGACAUGCCUUUUUUCCCCACUCAUUUAUUUUCUUCUUUAUUUUUCCCUGUUGGUAAAUUUCAUUAUCAUUGCUCAUGCUGGCUGGAGUUUAUUUGUGAAUGCUCUAAGGAUCACCAUUCAUUUUUUGCUUAUUCUCCUAACUAUUCUGCAAUAUCCUUUUCACUAUUAUCAUAACCAUAUGAUUGCUCUGUGUGUGUGUGCGUGCAUGCGCACUUUUGUCUACUCCAUACAACAUU